CUACGUGCCAGCAGCCGCGGUAAUACGUAGGGUGCGAGCGUUAAUCGGAAUUACUGGGCGUAAAGAGCUUGUAGGCGGUUGGUCGCGUCUGCUGUGAAAGGCCGGGGCUUAACUCCGGUUUUGCAGUGGGUACGGGCUAACUAGAGUGCAGUAGGGGAGACUGGAAUUCCUGGUGUAGCGGUGGAAUGCACAGAUAUCAGGAGGAACACCGAUGGCGAAGGCAGGUCUCUGGGCUGUAACUGACGCUGAGAAGCGAAAGCAUGGGGAGCGAACAGGAUUAGAUACCCUGGUAGUCCAUGCCGUAAACGUUGGGCACUAGGUGUGGGGGACAUUCCACGUUUUCCGCGCCGUAGCUAACGCAUUAAGUGCCCCGCCUGGGGAGUACGGCCGCAGGGCUAAAACUCAAAGGAAUUGACGGGGGCCCGCACAAGCGGCGGAGCAUGCGGAUUAAUUCGAUGCAACGCGAAGAACCUUACCAAGGCUUGACAUGCAUUAGAUCGCGUCAGAGAU
rnacentral:rRNA from 1 species